AGAGCAAGAGAAAGAAAGAAAGAGAUAGAACUUCACGAAAGGGUGUGGGAGAGCGAGAGAGAGAAAGAGGUACAAAGAGGGAUAGGUGUAGGAGGCGUGGAUAAGAAUGAGAAAGAAAACGACAUAGGUGGGUGCGCGCGCGCGAGCCUGCGGUUUGCAACGUUCUUGCGCGCUAACCGCGCGCGUGUGUGUGUGUUCGUAUUUUCUUGAGGUGGGUGUCGAGUGCAUUUGUUGUGUGCUUUUGUGUGGUUAGAGAUAGGUGUCAACAAGAGCGUGUCAGCCGCGUGUCUUGCCUUACCUUGCCGUGUGCGGCCACUACCCUAUUUCAACUUUCGAUGAAAGUGAGGAAAGAUUAAGUCUGUGUAAAACUCGAAAAACAAAAGUGAGGUUAGGACGGUAUGGGGGUGGUCGAUCUCGAUGGAGUGAAGUUGUCGUCGUUGUCGUCAUCGUCGCCGUCGUUGUCGGAGUUGUCAGAGUUGUCAUCUUCCUCGUUUAUUCUAAUUUCGAAGCGUGACAGCGAAAUUUUCUUUAGCAACGAACCACCGAUUUAGUUAUUUCAGCUCGUAUAGUGGUGUUUCGUGGCCUUUCUAUCGGGAAGUCGCGUCAGAGUUGACGUCUUCGAGGGAAGAGAAAAGAAAGAUAAUGGAGAUGUCCUUAAUUAACGACGUUGCUACGAGGAAUAUCUUCUUUACUGACAGUCUCCUGUGACGCGCGUGCAGGGGAAACCAAAAAGAGAGAAAGAGAGAAAGAGAGAGAGAGGCAACAUAUUCUUGUAUAUGUAUACGUGGAUGCAGAAGAGAGACGGCAGGGAUGGCCGCGAGAAGGAGCUUGGCCGUGGCUCCGAUCGUGAUCAGCAGGACGCGGCGAAAAGGGCCUCCCGUGGUAGUGGAAACGCCACGAGGUCCAAUGUCCAUUCCUCGAGGCAUAGUGUCACCUCUUCGUCCGCUGUGCUGAUGGUCGGCCCGAACUUUCGGGUCGGCAAGAAAAUCGGCUGUGGUAACUUCGGGGAACUUCGACUUGGGAAGAACCUCUACAAUAACGAGCACGUAGCAAUAAAAAUGGAACCAAUGAAGUCAAAGGCGCCACAGCUACAUUUAGAAUAUAGGUUUUACAAAUUAUUAGGUACACAUGUUAACAAUGUUCGUGCAGAGGGUAUACCGGAGGUGUAUUACUUUGGCCCAUGUGGGAAGUACAACGCUCUGGUAAUGGAACUUCUCGGACCAAGCCUAGAAGAUCUCUUUGACCUCUGUGGGAGAAGGUUUACCCUCAAGACCGUUCUUAACAUUGCCACACAACUUCUCCAUAGGAUAGAGUACGUCCACAGUCGACAUUUGAUUUAUCGUGAUAUCAAGCCAGAGAAUUUCUUGAUAGGACGAUGUACGACUAAACGAGAGAAAAUUAUUCACAUAAUCGAUUUCGGAUUGGCCAAAGAGUAUAUAGAUCUGGAAACGAAUAAGCACAUACCUUACCGGGAACACAAGAGUCUUACUGGAACGGCGCGUUAUAUGAGUAUCAACACCCACCUUGGAAAAGAGCAAAGUAGAAGAGACGAUCUGGAGGCGUUAGGACACAUGUUUAUGUACUUUCUACGUGGUAGUUUACCUUGGCAAGGACUCAGAGCUGAAACGUUAAAGGAACGAUAUCAGAAAAUUGGGGAUACGAAAAGAGCAACACCAAUUGAGGUUCUUUGCGAUGGACAUCCUGAGGAGAUGGCCACGUAUCUUAGAUACGUACGCAGGUUGGACUUUUUUGAGACACCUGAUUACGAGUACCUGAGGAAAAUCUUCCUUGAUCUCUACGAGAGACGAGGCUUCGUCAACGACGGCGAGUUCGAUUGGACCGGCAAGACAAUGCCACCCAACUUCGAGCAGCUCAGGGUGUUGAGACUUGCAGCGCCUUCUCAUGUCGAGAAACACAAGUCAGACAAGUCAACACCAGUUGGAUCGCUACAAACGGGCCACGAAAUCAUCGUAUCACCAAAUCGCGAUCGGCAUCCAACAACAACGUAUAAGAGAGACAGAUUUGCGUAUUACAUGUUUUUAUCGAUCAUCGAUCAUCCGAGCAAAAGAGUGAGAUUUAAAACAACAACAAAAUAAUUUUUUCUGCUUCAUAUUACACUUUUCCUUGGUAUACAUGUGUAGGAGUACGAUGAUUUUGAAGAGGACGUAGUCCUUAUGAUGGAUCAAGUCCGCGUGGAAUUGCAAGGCCACUAUGUUGUUUCAUCGACGAACGGAGAAU
rnacentral:misc_RNA from 1 species